CAGUCGCCGCGGUAAUACGAAGGGUGCAAGCGUUACUCGGAAUUACUGGGCGUAAAGCGUGCGUAGGUGGUGGUUUAAGUCCGUUGUGAAAGCCCUGGGCUCAACCUGGGAAUUGCAGUGGAUACUGGGUCACUAGAGUGUGGUAGAGGAUAGUGGAAUUUCCGGUGUAGCAGUGAAAUGCGUAGAGAUCGGAAGGAACAUCUGUGGCGAAGGCGACUAUCUGGGCCAACACUGGCACUGAGGCACGAAAGCGUGGGGAGCAAACAGGAUUAGAUACCCCCGUAGUCCCUGUCUCUUAUAC
rnacentral:rRNA from 1 species